rnacentral:rRNA from 1 species
GGGGAAUUUUCCGCAAUGGGCGAAAGGCCCUGACGGAGCAAUACAGCGUGAGGGAAGACUGCCUAUGGGUUGUAAACCUCUUUUUUCAGGGAGGAAUAAAUGACGUGUACCUGAAGAAUAAGCAUCGGCUAAC